ACGAACGCUGGCGGCGUGCUUAACACAUGCAAGUCGGACGGGGCAGCAAUGCCUAGUGGCGGACGGGUGAGUAAGACAUAGGUAACGUGCCCUGGAGUGGGGGAUACCCAGCCGAAAGGUUGGCUAAUACCGCAUGAUGUGAUGGGGGGGAGCUCCUUAUCAUCAAAGAUUUAUCGCUCUGGGAUCGGCCUAUGCUCGAUUAGUUAGUUGGUGGGGUAAUGGCCUACCAAGACUGCGAUCGAUAGCUGGUCUGAGAGGAUGAUCAGCCACACUGGGACUGAGACACGGCCCAGACUCCUACGGGAGGCAGCAGUGGGGAAUUUUCCGCAAUGGGCGAAAGCCUGACGGAGCGACGCCGCGUGGAGGAUGACGGCCUUCGGGUUGUAAACUCCUUUCAGCAGGGACGAUAAUGACGGUACCUGCAGAAGAAGCAUCGGCUAACUACGU
rnacentral:rRNA from 1 species